rnacentral:rRNA from 1 species
UGGCUGUCGUCAGCUCGUGUCGUGAGAUGUUGGGUUAAGUCCCGCAACGAGCGCAACCCUUGUCAUUAGUUGCUACAUUUAGUUGGGCACUCUAAUGAGACUGCCGGUGACAAACCGGAGGAAGGUGGGGAUGACGUCAAGUCCUCAUGGCCCUUAUAGGUGGGGCUACACACGUCAUACAAUGGCUGGUACAGAGGGUUGCCAACCCGCGAGGGGGAGCCAAUCCCAUAAAGCCAGUCGUAGUCCGGAUCGCAGUCUGCAACUCGACUGCGUGAAGUCGGAAUCGCUAGUAAUCGCGGAUCAG